rnacentral:rRNA from 1 species
GAUGCUAAUACCGCAUAGAUCCAAGAACCGCAUGGUUCUUGGCUGAAAGAUGGCGUAAGCUAUCGCUUUUGGAUGGACCCGCGGCGUAUUAGCUAGUUGGUGAGGUAAUGGCUCACCAAGGAGAUGAUACGUAGCCGAACUGAGAGGUUGAUCGGCCACAUUGGGACUGAGACACGGCCCAAACUCCUACGGGAGGCAGCAGUAGGGAAUCUUCCACAAUGGACGCAAGUCUGAUGGAGCAACGCCGCGUGAGUGAAGAAGGCUUUCGAGUCGUAAAACUCUGUUGUUGGAGAAGAAUGGUCGGCAGAGUAACUGUUGUCGGCGUGACGGUAUCCAACCAGAAAGCCACGGCUAACUACGUGCCAGCAGCCGCGGUAAUACGUAGGUGGCAAGCGUUAUCCGGAUUUAUUGGGCGUAAAGCGAGCGCAGGCGGUUUUUUAAGUCUGAUGUGAAAGCCCUCGGCUUAACCGAGGAAGCGCAUCGGAAACUGGGAAACUUGAGUGCAGAAGAGGACAGUGGAACUCCAUGUGUAGCGGUGAAAUGCGUAGAUAUAUGGAAGAACACCAGUGGCGAAGGCGGCUGUCUGGUCUGUAACUGACGCUGAGGCUCGAAAGCAUGGGUAGC